UCAAGGUCUAGUGAAUCUUUGAUGUUUGGCACUGCCAUCAGUGUUUUAAGGCAUGUGCGUGAUAGUCUUUCUUUUCCUUUUUCAUUCUUUGUUGGAUAUUAGAACCAAAUUGUGCCUAAGGGAUAGUCUAUACCGUUUGGCUAAGAGUGCCGAGCAAAGACAUAAUGACUCAAUUGCAAAUGGUUGCACCGGAGAUGAUGAAGCAUGC